AAACUCAAAGGAAUUGACGNNNNNNNGCACAAGCAGCGGAGCGNGGGGUUUAAUUCGACGCAANNNGAAAAACCUUACCUACCCUUGACAUGGACGGAAGCCACGAGAGAUCGAGGUGUGCUCGAAAGAGAACCGUCACGCAGGUGCUGCAUGGCUGUCGUCAGCUCGUGUCGUGAGAUGUUGGGUUAAGUCCCGCAACGAGCGCAACCCUUGUCAUUAGUUGCUACGAAAGAGCACUCUAAUGAGACUGCCGGUGACAAACCGGAGGAAGGUGGGGAUGACGUCAAGUCCUCAUGGCCCUUAUGGGUAGGGCUUCACACGUCAUACAAUGGUACAUACAGAGGGCCGCCAACCCGCGAGGGGGAGCUAAUCCCAGAAAGUGUAUCGUAGUCCGGAUUGUAGUCUGCAACUCGACUACAUGAAGUUGGAAUCGCUAGUAAUCGCGGAUCAGCAUGUCGCGGUGAAUGCGUUCCCGGGUCUUGUACACACCGCCCGUCACACCAUGGGAGCGGGUUUUACCAGAAGUAGGUAGCUUAACCGCAAGGAGGGCGCUUACCACGGUAGGAUUCGUGACUGGGGUGAAGUCGUAACAA
rnacentral:rRNA from 1 species